UACGUAGGGUGCAAGCGUUAAUCGGAAUUACUGGGCGUAAAGCGAGUGUAGGCGGUCUUGUAAGUCGGAUGUGAAAGCCCCGGGCUCAACCCGGGAAGUGCACUCGAUACUGCAAGACUUGAGUACCGGAGAGGUUGGUGGAAUUCUCGGUGUAGAGGUGAAAUUCGUAGAUAUCGAGAGGAACACCGGUGGCGAAGGCGGCCUGCUGGGCAGUUGCUGACACUGAGGCGCGACAGCGUGGGGAGCAAACAGG
rnacentral:rRNA from 1 species